rnacentral:tRNA from 1 species
GGGCCCGUAGCCUAGAACGGACAGGGCGCCGACCCAUACGUGGGGCGUAAGCCUUCGGAGCCGGAGGCCGUGGGUUCAAGUCCCACCGGGCCCG